rnacentral:rRNA from 1 species
GAGUUUGAUCUUGGCUCAGAUUGAACGCUGGCGGCAUGCCUUACACAUGCAAGUCGAACGGCAGCACGGGAGCUUGCUCCUGGUGGCGAGUUGGCGAACGGGUGAGUAAUGCAUCGGAACGUAUCCUGGAGUGGGGGAUAACGUAGCGAAAGUUACGCUAAUACCGCAUAUUCUGUGAGCAGGAAAGCGGGGGACCUUCGGGCCUCGCGCUCUUGGAGCGGCCGAUGUCGGAUUAGCUAGUUGGUGAGGUAAAGGCUCACCAAGGCGACGAUCCGUAGCAGGUCUGAGAGGAUGAUCUGCCACACUGGAACUGAGACACGGUCCAGACUCCUACGGGAGGCAGCAGUGGGAAUUUUGGACAAUGGGGGCAACCCUGAUCCAGCCAUGCCGCGUGAGUGAAGAAGGCCUGG